rnacentral:rRNA from 3 species
CUUGGCGGCUAUAGCGCUUUGGAACCACCUCUUCCCAUUCCGAACAGAACCGUGAAACGAAGUUGCGCCGAUGAUAGUGUGUUUUCGCAUGUGAAAGUAGGUCACCGCCAAGC